rnacentral:rRNA from 1 species
UACGAAGGGAGCUAGCGUUGUUCGGAAUUACUGGGCGUAAAGGGCGCGUAGGCGGUCAGGCAAGUCAGGUGUGAAAGCCCUGGGCUCAACCCGGGAAUUGCGCUUGAUACUACUUGGCUUGAAUUCGGGAGAGGUUGGUGGAAUUCCCAGUGUAGAGGUGAAAUUCGUAGAGAUUGGGAAGAACACCCGUGGCGAAGGCGGCCAACUGGACCGACAUUGACGCUGAGGCGCGAAAGCGUGGGGAGCAAACAGG